rnacentral:misc_RNA from 1 species
ACUUAUGACUAUUGAACCUCGUGUGAGUAUGGAACAUAGCGAGUAUGUUUUGUAUUUUGUUUCUAUUUUCUGUUCGAUAUUUGGUUAUGGAACAAUUGUUCUUUGCCUAGUAGUACUUAUUAUGAAAAUGACCAGGGUUUGAUUAAUGUACUAAAUGUCUGAUGGUUUUAUGUUUUGAAUGCCUAAUGGUGCAGUUUUUAUGUGAUAUUUUAAAGGAAGCCUUUAGGUAUUAGCUGAGAUGAAAAAGGAAGGACUGGGCUAGCCCCAAUCUUCAUAUUUUACCUGACCAAAUAGAGAAUUUUGUAAGAUCUUUCAUGGUAUCAUAAACAUUUUUCAACACAAGGUAAUUUAUGUUUCUACAAAUGCAAAUGCCUGAGUGUUUGAAAGAAAUUUUUUUGAUCAUGGAAUGAUUUACUGAAAAUUAUCCUCUGUUGUUUAUUGUUUCAAAGACAAACAUAUUUCUCUCUCUAAACCCUCACCCAACCUACUCUCAUUAGUUUAAUAAUAUUUUCAGAAAUCAAAAUUACUGCAAUAUUCUCAGACUUUUGUUUGGAUAAUACACCCUAAAAGUCUUGUUUAAUCGACUAGGAUGAUACUUAGAAAAUGGAAAUAAAUUCAAGUUGCUUCCAUCAAGAUGCCUCUUUACCUUAUUGCCUUAUUCAUAGGCAAAAAAAAAAAAAA